GAUGAACGCUAGCGGCAGGCCUAACACAUGCAAGUCGAGGGGCAGCAUAAUAAUAGCUUGCUAUUAUUGAUGGCGACCGGCGCACGGGUGCGUAACGCGUAUGUAACCUACCCAUCACUGGAGGAUAACCCGGAGAAAUCCGGCCUAAUACUCCAUGUGUAUCGAGAUGGCAUCCUUUCGGUAUAAAAGAUUUAUCGGUGAUGGAUGGACAUGCGUGACAUUAGUUAGUUGGUGAGGUAACGGCUCACCAAGACAGCGAUGUCUAGGGGUUCUGAGAGGAAGGUCCCCCACACUGGUACUGAGACACGGACCAGACUCCUACGGGAGGCAGCAGUGAGGAAUAUUGGUCAAUGGACGCAAGUCUGAACCAGCCAUGCCGCGUGCAGGAUGACGGCUCUACGAGUUGUAAACUGCUUUUAUACGGGAAUAAUAGUCUUUACGUGUAGGGAUUUGAAUGUACCGUAUGAAUAAGGAUCGGCUAACUCCGUGCCAGCAGCCGCAGUAAGAC
rnacentral:rRNA from 1 species